AAUUUGUUUAUAAGUAUAGUAUUAUUCUUCAACAAUAGAGAUAUGUUUUUUUUUAAAAGAGAUAUCACGCUACACACUUUGUAUUUUUUUUUUAGAAAUAAACUUAGCUAAAAAUGUGAAUCAAUUAGAAUUCGAACUUGAAACUUCGGGUACCAACCAUCAAGCCCUUUGCCAUGUUAAAUAUAGAGAGACAAGGGCCAUGCAUGUUUAUCAAUAUGUUUGGUCCCCUAUAGCAGGAGUAUUAAGUGGUGAGAAGUGGAGUCAGCGUAGUGUUUUGGCUGGGUCUCGCAGGGAUUUGUCUUCUCCUUCUUCUGAGUGUGUAAGUCUGUCUUCUUUAUUUGAAUGCUGAAAAAAUGUGAGCAGAGGACAGCUCCCGAAUCUCUUAAAACAGAAGAAGGUUUUUUUUUUUUUUUUUUUUUUUUCAUUUUUGAGAGAUAGGUAGCAUGCUACCCGCUUCGUUUAUUUCAUUUAGAAAUAAACUUAACUGGAAAUGUGAAUCAACUAGGAUUCGAACUUGGGUCUCGGAUACUAACCACCAAGCCCUUUGUCACUUGCUCUAGGGACAAUCGGUAAAAAACAGAAGAAGGGUUGGAACAACUCCUUUGCAAGACUAGAUGUUGUUAACCAGAAUACGGUCGAAAAGGUGAAGAGUUCGAUGUUUGUUUGGAUGUAAGUGGAUGCAAAAGAGUGAAUUCCUUUUCAGCCAUAAACUGUUACUCUUGUUAUUUGGUUUACUGUAAUAAAAAUGUAACUGGAUAUCUAAUUAUCCAAAAUAACAUAAAUUGGUUUUGGCCCACUGAGCCGAAGACAGUUACGGUAAAA
rnacentral:lncRNA from 1 species